UCAUUAGAAGGACCACUGUUUUAAACCGAGCUGUAUUUAACCUGAUUAUUGUGCAAAUUAUAGGCAGGAAAUAACCCUUCUCGCUCUAAAUUCAAAGGACAACUGGCCACUAAGUCAUCAGCAGACAUCUAUUUGUUGCAACAAUCAACAAGUUCACCAACUCAUUAACCCUUUUAGCUUUGUUAUUUGCAGAUUUCAAGAGAUCGGUCAUUUCAGGCACAGGGACACCAACAAAGAACAUGGGAGCACAAAAGCAGCUUUCUUCUGUCGGCCAAGUAGGAAAACUCACUUUGUCAUCACCAUGGAGGUGGCAUCCUGCACAGUUACUUGAGGCUAUCAGCUCCUCCAAUUACAAAUGAGAAGGUGUUGAAGCUGCCACAAAUCAACAUGGACUUUGGACAUGUGUGGUGGUUUCAAUGUCAACAUACAGAGCAGUUGUUGGGACAUAAAUCAAGACACAUUGACCCUUACCAUUGACCUUUAAUGUGGAUUUUCAUCCCUGCUAUAGUCGUGUUUGGUGUAGACAUGCAAGGCCAGGGAUCGCUUGGCUGGCUUUCUUCAACCAGCAGAAGUUUUUACAUGGGAGUGAACACCUUUCCUAUCUUGUUACAUGCAUUGUGAUAACCAGCCGUCACAUGAGGAGCUCCUUUCAUGUCUCAAGACCCUCACCAUAUUGGCGAUACUCAUGAGGAGGAAUAUGCUGUGUGGAUCCUGAC